UCUGGCAGCAGACUCAAAUCAGUGAUAUUUAGAUGAUUAUCUUACAUAUAAAUUGAAAUAAAGUUGUUAAAAAUUUGGUGUUAGUAAAAGUCUAAAAAUAUGAAAAAUUUAUAUAAAAAGUGUCCAAAUUCAAAACAUUAUCAAACUCUCUAAAAAUGCCUAGAAUGCAGGAUUUUGCACCAUUCAUUUCAUACCCUCCAAAAAAAAUUUUUCGACUCGCUUCGC
rnacentral:lncRNA from 1 species